rnacentral:rRNA from 1 species
GACGAACGCUGGCGGCGUGCCUAAUACAUGCCAGUAGAACGCUGAAGGAGGAGCUUGCUUCUCCGGAUGAGUUGCGAACGGGUGAGUAACGCGUAGGUAACCUGCCUGGUAGCGGGGGAUAACUAUUGGAAACGAUAGCUAAUACCGCAUAACAGUAGAUGUUGCAUGACAUUUGCUUAAAAGGUGCAAUUGCAUCACUACCAGAUGGACCUGCGUUGUAUUAGCUAGUUGGUGAGGUAACGGCUCACCAAGGCGACGAUACAUAGCCGACCUGAGAGGGUGAUCGGCCACACUGGGACUGAGACACGGCCCAGACUCCUACGGGAGGCAGCAGUAGGGAAUCUUCGGCAAUGGACGGAAGUCUGACCGAGCAACGCCGCGUGAGUGAAGAAGGUUUUCGGAUCGUAAAGCUCUGUUGUAAGAGAAGAACGAGGGUGAGAGUGGAAAGUUCACACUGUGACGGUAUCUUACCAGAAAGGGACGGCUAACUACGUG